rnacentral:lncRNA from 1 species
AUACAUCUAACUGUUUUUUGAACAGUCUGAACUUGGUAUGUUGGGAGCUAACAUCAAAGAACUAUUUUCCCCCAUUCACAUGAGGACUGUGUCAAAUCUGCCUCCUAUCACUUAAGGAGGUUUUGGGAAAAUCAUUCACUUUCGUUUCUAUCACUUCCAGUAACUUAACAGUACGGCUCAGAUGUAAAACUCCCCUUUUACUUGUUCCUGUCACUUCAGCCCAAGCUUGUCUCAUGAUCUAAAAAUCUGUAAUAGGGAAGAGGGUGUGGUCUGAUCUUUCCCCUUCUAUUUUACCUCAUCUAGUUCCAGAUUCUCAAAUCAUAUAGGGCCAGGAGGAGAGGACCAAAUUAUGUCUUAGUUACCUGGCUGCUGGUGGUUGUCUCUGUUUUUUGUAGAGCACAGGUGUAACGGCUUUCAGGGUGGGGGUGGGGAACUCUCCACUGAGUAGUGUGCUGAUGUGGGAGAUCUCUGGCUUGGCCUCUUCCGGCCCUCCUCCCACUCAGCUCCCACCAAUGAUGUAUCAAUAAAACCUCUUGCUGCUGGAGAUCUGCUUACCUGGUGGCCAGGGUGGCAAGACAAGUGAAGCCUGACUAUGCCUGCAGCAUCCACUGUGGAAACUACUACAUCUUUGCCAUGCCAAACACUUCUGCUUAAGCAUGCAGGUGAGAAGGGAAGAUACAUGUAAUCUGCAUGUCUGCCACCAUUCCUUGUUACCCUUUUUCAUAUCCCAUGAGCACAGCACUCCAGCGGACCUACCCAAAAUAUGUGGGAGUUCAGUGAAACUCAAACAGCAUGCUUCUGGUCAGCCUAUACAGUCUCUGUCCUGGUGAGGAGCAUGAUCACCAACAGGCAAGAUCUUCUGGCCUUGAAGUUUCGCUUGAGUUAAAAGAGCUCAUCUCAGGACUUUCUGAAUUUUCAGCCCAUAUGACAUGGAAGAAGAGUUAGAAGGGGAAUCUGACUGCUUGGAUCAGGGACUGUCUGGCUGGUGGAACUUGAAUAGAUGUACAGUGCGCCACUCUGAGGAUCAAGUCUGACCCUGCCUUUAAAUUUGGAUUCAAAGUACUUAGAUUUUCUGGAAUCCCAUUCUACAAUCUUCUGGUCGAAAGUAUAAAACCAGCAUUGGCCAGCUUGAGAAAUAAAGGGACAGAGUACAAAAGAGAGAAAUUUUAAAGCUGAGCAUCUGGGGGAGACAUCACAUGUCGUCUGCAGGUGUACCCAACAGCUCCGAAGAGACAGUGACAUCGAGAACGGGCCAUGAUGACGAUGGCGGUUUUGUCGAAAAGAAAAGGGGGAAAUGUGGGGAAAAGCAAGAGAGAUGAGAUUGUUACUGUGUCUGUAUAGAAAGAAGUAGACAUAGGAGACUCCAUUUUGUUCUGUACUAAGAAAAAUUCUUCUGCCUUGAGAUGCUGUUAAUCUAUGACCUUACCCCCAACCCCGUGCUCUCUGAAACAUGUGCUGUGUCAAACUCAGGGUUAAAUGGAUUAAGGGCGGUGCAAGAUGUGCUUUGUUAAACAGAUGCUUGAAGGCAGCAUGCUCAUUAAGAGUCAUCACCACUCCCUAAUCUCAAGUACCCAGGGACACAAACACUGCGAAAGACCGCAGGGACCUCUGCCUAGGAAAGCUAGGUAUUGUCCAAGGUUUCUCCCCAUGUGAUAGUCUGAAAUAUGGCCUCGUGGGAAGGGAAAGACCUGACCAUCCCCCAGACCAACACCCGUAAAGGGUCUGUGCUGAGGAGGAUUAGUAUAAGAGGAAAGCAUGCCUCUUGCAGUUGAGAGAAGAGGAAGACAUCUGUCUCCUGCCCAUCCCUGGGCAAUGGAAUGUCUCAGUAUAAAACCCGAUUGAACAUUCCAUCUACUGAGAUAGGGAAAAACUGCCUUAGGGCUGGAGGUGGGACAUGUGGGCAGCAAUACUGCUUUGUAAAGCAUUGAGAUGUUUAUGUGUAUGCAUAUCUAAAAGCACAGCACUUGAUCCUUUACCUUGUCUAUGAUGCAAAGACCUUUGUUCACGUG